GCAUAUCAAUAAGCGGAGGAAAAGAAACUAUCCAGGGAUUCCCUAGUAACGGCGAGUGAAGCGGGAAGAGCUCAAAUUUGAAAUCUGGUAGCCUUCGGUUGCCCGAGUUGUAAUCUAGAGAAGUGUUUUCCGCGUUGGCCCAUGUACAAGUCCCUUGGAACAGGGCGUCAUAGAGGGUGAGAAUCCCGUCCUUGACAUGGACCCCCAAUGCUUUGUGAUACACUUUCAACGAGUCGAGUUGUUUGGGAAUGCAGCUCAAAAUGGGUGGUGAAUUCCAUCUAAAGCUAAAUAUUGGCGAGAGACCGAUAGCGAACAAGUACCGUGAGGGAAAGAUGAAAAGCACUUUGGAAAGAGAGUUAAACAGUACGUGAAAUUGUUGAAAGGGAAACGAUUGAAGUCAGUCAUGCUCUUUGGAUUAAGCCGUUCUGCGGUGUAUUUCAUUGAGCGGGGUCAACAUCAGUUUUGAUCGCUGGAAAAGGGCAGGAGGAAGGUAGCACUCUCGGGUGAACUUAUAGCCUCUUGUCGUAUACAGUGAUUGGGACUGAGGAACGCAGCAUGCCUUUUGGCCGGGAUUCGUCCACGUACAUGCUUAGGAUGUUGACAUAAUGGCUUUAAACGACCCGUCUUGAAACACGGACC
rnacentral:rRNA from 1 species